rnacentral:rRNA from 1 species
AUUGAACGCUGGCGGAAUGCUUUACACAUGCAAGUCGAACGGUAGAGGGGGCAACCCCUCGAGAGUGGCGAACGGGGGAGUAAUAUAUCGGAACGUGCCCAGUCGUGGGGGAUAACGUAGCGAAAGUUACGCUAAUACCGCAUACGAUCUAAGGAUGAAAGCGGGGGAUCGCAAGACCUCGCGCGAUUGGAGCGGCCGAUAUCAGAUUAGGUAGUUGGUGGGGUAAAGGCUCACCAAGGCAACGAUCUGUAGCUGGUCUGAGAGGACGACCAGCCACACUGGAACUGAGACACGGUCCAGACUCCUACGGGAGGCAGCAGUGGGGAAUUUUGGACAAUGGACGCAAGUCUGAUCCAGCCAUUCCGCGUGCAGGAUGAAGGCCCUCGGGUUGUAAACUGCUUUUGUACGGAACGAAAAGGUCUCUCUUAAUACGGGGGGCUCAUGACGGUACCGUAAGAAUAAGCACCGGCUAACUACGUGCCAGCCGCCGCGGUAA